GGGCCGCACCUCGCUCGAGCGACGCCAUCUGGGUUGGUGCCGCGCGGCGGCUCCGGAGCAGAAGGGCGCGAGCCCACCCGCCGUGCCCCUUCCCCCCGGCCCGACAUGGGGCUCGCCUGCCGCCUCCCCGCGCUCGGGCUGCUGCUGCGCGCCCUGCUGGUAUGCACCCAGUCUCAAGAGCAAGAGUCUGUGUUUGCCAUUGUGGGAGAAGAUUUUACUUUUUCACCAAAAGUUAAUGGAACUAUAAGAGAAAUUACCUGGAUGAAAAGAAAAAAUAAAGUGGCUGAAUGGGAGCGUGAUGAGUUACCUAUAUAUUUUAGUUUAAGAGAGAGAGGAGAGCUUGAGACGUCUUCUGGCAAUUUUACCAUCAAAAAGUUAAACACUGAUGAUGCUGUAGAGUAUGAGGCACAAGUUCUGCCUAUUCUUGAUGACCAGCUCCAAUAUACAAAAUUUGUACUUGAAGUAUUGGCUCCUCCUCCACCAUCAGUAUUAAAUUGCAGCGUUACUGAUGGUCAGAUUAGAAUAUCAUGUGCAAUACAGUUCUCAAAGGAUGUGCGCUACAGUUGGUAUCGGAAUGACAGAAAAAUUGACGGUAAUAGUUCUGUUCUCGAACUUGAAGAAAAUGCAGACCCUUCAGGGGAAGUUUUGUGCGUCAGAGAAGUCUCCAAAACAAAAAUCAACGACUCAAUCUCUCUGAGUGCAUGCUUCCGAAAGAGUGAUGAAAGUAUUUCAAGAGGUAGAGAUGGUUUAAUAGCAGUUUUUGUUAUUUUUCCUCUCAUUCUGUUCAUGGGCGCACUCUUCUUUCUGUGGAAAAGAGGUUUGCUUUCCAGCAUUCCCUGUCGGAGAGAAAAGCACUCAGCUGUAUAUAAGCCUGAAGAACAACACCUUACAGAUGAUUACAGAUUCCCGGAAGAAAGUGGCCAAAAAGAAGAUCCUGAAUGUGAAAAUUCACGUGAUUUUGAACUUGCAGUUCAUCAAUCAGAUGAAGCAACGAAGUUGGUGCAGAUAGAAGGUGUGCCAGUGAUCCUCCACUGCGUUAAUGAAAGCCAAACUGAGAAAGAGGAAAAGAAGAACUCAGAAGAGACUGUAUCAACGAGCCAGGCUGAUCUUUCCUCCAAUCCAGAGAAUCCAGACUAUGAAAAUAUCUCCAAGGAGAAUCAGAAGCCAGAGGAAAAGAAGAACUCAGAAGAGACUGUAUCAACGAGCCAGGCUGAUCUUUCCUCCAAUCCAGAGAAUCCAGACAGUGAAAAUAUCUCAGACAGGAAUCUGGAGAUAGAGGAAAAGAAGAACUCAGAAGAGACUGUAUCAACGAGCCAGGCUGAUCUUUCCUCCAAUCCAGAGAAUCCAGAGGAGGAGAAGAACUCAAGACUAAAUCAAUGAACCUGCCUGACCUUCUCUUCAAUCAAGAGAAAACAGCGACUGUCCAGUUUGGCCGAUGUACAUAGCAGAGGGGCAUUGCUGGCAUAUGAUGGCGUAUAUUACAUUGGUGGACGUGCAGAUCUUAAACUGCAAAGUGAGGCACACUAACAACACAAUGGGCUAAACUUCAUUGCGGCAUGACAAAAGACACUGAGAGAAGAACUAGCUUGUGGAUGUUGUCCAUGAGUGCUGGAGUUCUCCCUAGCAGAUGUGUUUUGAAGAUUCAUUCAUUUGUUCUCAAGCGUCAUAGACUAUCAGAGUUGGAAGGGACCUCAGAAGAUCAUCUAAGUCCAACGCCCUGCUCAAAGGGGGACCAAUCCCCAAAUUGCCCCCUUAAGGAUUGAACUCACAACCCUGGGUUUCGCAGGCUAGUGCUCAAACCACUGAGCUAUCGCUUCCACUAAUGCCCACUUUUAUCUUUCCAGGAUAUAUGUCCUGUUUCUGCAUUGUCAGUUAUUUUGAAAAUGGAUGGAGUGAGUCAAGGAGCAAAUCCCUUUGCAUCCGUGCUCCUUUUUGUGCUUUUGUUUUACAAGCAAGCGAACGUGAACCUUAGGCGCCAGGUUUAUGUAUGCCAAUGUUUCCAGACAUUAACUAACACAAGAGAAUGGGGACAAAUAAAAAACUAAUGGAUGUGAUAUAAAACUCUAACUGUAACAUUAUUUAAAUUCAGAAGAGAAGAGUGUUCAGAGGGCGACUCUCAUUUUCUCCACCUCCCCAUCUGAAAGAAAACGCUACAACGACACUGUCCAUGCAGAGAUGAGCAACAGCUUUCCUGGCUCUUGUUUCUAUCUGUCCUUCCAGAAAGCACCACCAUCACCACCACCAAAUUCUGAUUCUUUUUGAAUAGCAAAAGGCAGACAAACCUUCUUGCUCAAUGGAGAUGGUAUCAACUCUGCUAUUUACUCUAGCCAGCGGUUCUCAAUCUGUUGGUUGGGCUCAAAAGUGGGUCACGACCCUGUUUUAAUGGGGUCACCAGGGCUGGUGUUAGACUUGAAGUAUGCGCCCCUCCGCCCAGGAGGGGGGCUGAAGCCAAAGCCCGAGGGCUUCAGCCUUGGGCAGCAGGGCUCAGGUUAUGGUGCCCCCCCACCCCCACCCAAGGGCAGGGCUCAGGCUUUGGUCCGUCUUCCUGGAGUCCUGUAGUAAUUUUUGUUGUCAGAAGGGGUCGCGGUGCAAUGAAGUUUGAGAAUCCCUGCUAGCCAAACAAUACUCCUGGGUAAGUGUCAAGAGCAAUUGCAUCUGUGGCACCCACAACUGUGUCAAAACAGCUGAUCUAAAAGCAUCAGCACAGACACUUCAUUCACUAUCAGAAGGAGAUUAUCAACCAAUGAAACCAGUAGAGUCUCUGUGCCAAACCCAGGUCUCAAACUCGUGUGACCAGAGUCAAGGCAAUUGGAAGACUCCAGAUACUGAAAGUCAUUUUUCCCUCUGUGAUCUUCUUCCCAAAGAAGGAAACCGUUAACAGUCACUUUCUCCAGAGAGAGUGGCACCCACUUGCAUAGGUCCCUCCAACUGGCUGUUGUGCAAAUAGUAAAGAAACAGCAACUGACCAGGAGAAAGGCAUUCCAUUUUUAAUAUUGUUUCAUUGUAUUACUGUAAAAUGUUUUUAGUAACACUGAUAAAGAAUUUUUAGAAAUGGGGCCAGAUUUAUUGGUAUGUUCCAGCUAUUUUGCAUUAUAGCCCAUGAGCUUUAACUUGACGACAAACCAAAUUAGUGUCCAAAUUGAUAUGAUAUUGACGUUACAAGAGAAAGUCAAACUCAUAGUGCAGAUCUAGGUUAUCCUUUCCUAUGAGCAAGCCUUUCAACUGCUAACGUUCUAGGAAAAGUGCACAUCUUACUUUUCAUGCCAUUAGGGUGCCCAGGUUUAAUAAUCAGAUUGUUUGAUGCACUCCUUUGUGAUUAUAGAGCUGGUUACUUAAUGCUCACCCAUUUUUUACAACACUUGAAAAUCUAGAGAUGCUAUACAGGAAUUAGAUAUUAUCCCCUUUUUACAGAUGGAAAAAGAAAGGCAAAAAAGUUUAAAACUCUCUGUGUUUUCAAAAGACCCCGCAAAUUUAGGGUAUCCUUUUGAGAUAUUUUUCAGAUGUGCUGAGUACCCACAGCUCUCACUUCAGCAUCUCUGCAAGUCAGGGCUUUGACGUAUGAAGUUAGCAACCCAAAAAAACUACAUACUUUAGGGCAAUGGUUCUCAAAUAUUUGCGUGGCUCCACUAAUUAGGUGUCUGGCCCUUCAUUCUCCCACGUCUGGCAGCCCAGGCCCACACCUUAGAGGGAACUAUCCACUGACCACCUGAAUGGAGCCCGCGGACCAGAGUUUGAGAAGCUCUGCUUUAGGGGAUUCUUGCACAAAUGACUUACCACAGGUCGCACAGCAGAUUGGUGGCAGAGAUGGAAACAGAGUCUAAAUUUGCAAGUCAAAAAUUGAGAAUGAAAAAUUGUCAAAAAUAUGCAGUGGAAAAUGGAGUGGCAAAUUAUGAAUGAAAAAUUGCACUGUAGGGGAGAGUAGGCCAUUUGGAUAUUUUAUGGCUGGACUUUCUUACUCCAGGGAAGGCCUUUGCCAGUUAGGUAGAAAGUGUCCUUUAAAAACUGAGCAGCAUCCCGAGUUUGGCUGCAUAGGAAUGCAUUCUGGCAGGUUCUCACAGCAACAGAGCCUGCAUUUGACCUAUUAACAUGGAGGCAUGGUGCUUUGUCUUUGCAAAUAUUUCAUACUACGUACUAUUUCAAGUCAAGUGAAUGCUCACAUCCCAGCUGAGGGCUUGUUGAAAUGCAGUGGUUUUGAUUUACAUGUGUACCAUACAGAUAUGCCUGUACAGCAGUGGAUGAGUUUUAUGUGUGUACCAUACAGACAUUGCUUGCUUUUGGAAAGCAGUUGAGAUCUAUAACAAAUCAUGUCAAACCAAUCUGAUAGCUUUCUUUGAUAGGAUAAUGAGCCUUGUGGAUAAGGGAGAAGUGGUGGAUGUGGUAUACCUAGACUUUAGUAAGGCAUUUGAUACAGUCUCGCAUGAUAUCCUUAUUGAUAAACUAGGCAAAUACAAUUUAGAUGGGGCUACUAUAAGGUGGGUGCAUAAUUGGCUGGAUAACCGUACUCAGAGAGUAGUUAUUAAUGGCUCCCAAUCCUGCUGGAAAGGUAUAACAAGUGGGGUUCCCCAUGGGUCUGUUUUGGGACUGGCUCUGUUCAAUAUCUUCAUCAACGACUUAGAUGUUGGCAUAGAAAGUACGCUUGUUAAGUUUGCGGACGAUACCAAACUGGGAGGGAUUGCAACUGCUUUGGAAGACAGGGUCAAAAUUCAAAAUGAUCUGGACAAAUUGGAGAAAUGGUCUGAGGUAAACUGGAUGAAGUUCAAUAAAGACAAAUGCAAAGUGCUCCACUUAGGAAGGAACAAUCAGUUUCACACAUACAGAAUGGGAAGAGACUGUCUAGGAAGGAGUAUGGCAGAAAGAGAUCUAGGGGUCAUAGUGGACCGCAAGCUAAAUAUGAGUCAACAGUGUGAUACUGUUGCAAAAAAAGCAAACGUGAUUCUGGGACGCAUUAACAGGUGUGUUGUAAACAAGACACGAGAAGUCAUUCUUCUGCUCUACUCUGCGCUGGUUAGGCCUCAACUGGAGUAUUAUGUCCAGUUCUGGGCACCACAUUUAAAGAAAGAUGUGGAGAAAUUGGAGAGGGUCCAGAGAAGAGCAACAAAAAUGAUUAAAGGUCUUGAGAACGUGACCUAUGAAGGUAGGCUGAAAUAAUUGAGUUUAUUUAGUUUGAAAGAGAGAAGACUGAGAGGGGACAUGAUAGCAGUUUUCAGGUAUCUAAAAGGGUGUCAUCAGGAGGAGGGAGAAAACUUGUUCACCUUAGCCUCUAAUGAUAGAACAAGAAGCAAUGGGCUUAAACUGCAGCAAGGGAGAUUUAGGUUGGACAUUAGGAAAAAGUUCCUAACUGUCAGGGUAGUUAAACACUGGAAUAAAUUGCCUAGGGAGGUUGUGGAAUCUCCAUCUCUGGAGAUAUUUAAGAGUAGGUUAGAUAAAUGUCUAUCAGGGAUGGUCUAGACAGUAUUUGGUCCUGCCAUGAGGGCAGGGGACUGGACUCGAUGACCUCUUAAGGUCCCUUCCAGUCCUAGAGUCUAUGAAUCUGUUUUUUAGGUAUUUGGAAAUCAGACACACUCUAUCAGUUGAUAGUUUGACAGACACUUUUCACAACAGGCACAAUUUUGGGCAAGUAAUAAAACACAUCACCUCCCAAGCUUUAACUGUACAGCUGUCUGCAAAGGAACAUCUUCGCUUUUCCUGGAGAAAACUCUGGAAACCAAUCAAAGAUGCAUGAAUUUUCAGUCCACCAGUCUCAACACCUUCAGGAUUUGAACUCCAGACAUCUGAGCCUGUGGGUGAGAACCAUGCUACCUGGCCUCCAGCCACUUGCAGGUUCUGUCUACCUGAGAUGAAGGCUUUUGCCAGUUUCAAACAAACUUUGCCAGCAUCCAAAGUUUCACAAACUCACACAAGCUAUCCAGUUUUCUGCUACGGUCUUGCACCCCAAUGCCUGACCCAGACGCAAAUACCACAAUGAUGUCCCUUUUUCAUUUGCAAGGAAAAGCAUUGGAUGAUAUAUUGUGUCACAGAGAUGGUAGUCCCAUGAGUACUCUCAUCCCAGCGGAGGGCUUGCUGAAAUGCAGUGAAUAUCGUUUAUAUGUCUACUGCACAGACACCCCUCUAGAGCAGUGGAUGAGUUUUACACGUCUACCACAGAGAGGAGGCAUCACCAGCUCUCCCACCUUCAGCUGAAUCCCAAACCUCAGCUGAGAUGAAGCAGGCUCAGACGUUAAUAACAACACCAGCCCAUCUCAGCUAACAACUUCUCUUUUCCCCAGAAGGACAGUUAUUACCAUUUUUGAUACCAUCUAAGAGACUUGGGGGGUUUUCCUUCUAAAAUCCCUUUCCAGCUGAAGGGAAAGGGAGCAAAGGACAUUGAAAUGUAAUUUUAAAUAAGGCUUUUGUUUUAACAAAUGCUUUGUUGCUUUUUUCCUUCUUUUUAUCUUGAAUAAAAGGCUAGAAGAAUUGUUAA